rnacentral:rRNA from 1 species
AACGAACGCUGGCGGCAUGCCUAACACAUGCAAGUCGAACGAGACCUUCGGGUCUUGUGUCGCACGGGUUCGUAACGCGUGGGAACCUGCCCUUAGGUUUGGAAUAACUCCCCGAAAGGGGUGCUAAUACCGGACAAUGUCUUCUGACCAAAGAUUUAUCGCCUUUGGGUGGGCCCGCGUUGGAUUAGCUAGUUGGUAGGGUAAAAGCCUACCAAGGCGACGAUCCAUAGCUGGUCUGAGUGGAUGAUCAGCCACACUGGGACAGAGACACGGCCCAGACUCCUACGGGAGGCAGCAGUGGUGAAGAUUGGACACUGCGCGAAAGCCUGAGCCAGCAGUGCCGCGUGAGUGAUGAAGGCCUUAGGGUUGUAAGGCUCUUUUACCCGGGAUGAUAAGGACAGUACCGGGAGAAUAAGCUCCGGCUAAUUCCGU